UGGCGGCCGCGUCAACGUCUCAUCGUAUAUAUGGUUCUGCGGUUCGACCCAGCUCUCGCGAGAUCUGCGCGGUCCAAAGGUUUUUCCACUAUGGUUUCCAGUCACAACAAACAGCGGCUAGAAAAAGCGGUUUUUAAUCUGAGAAACUUGCUUUUUUCUCUGUCGUGGUGAUCAGACGGUGAUGAUGACGACAAAGAGCUGAUGUGGUCUGAGGAGGAGGAGGAGGAUGAUGAUGAAGAUGAAGAUGAGGGUGAACAACAGCCAGCUGCUGUUUCUGUCCAGAGAAGAAACAUCUGGAAACUUCCAGAAAGAAGGAACGCUGCGAGUUGGACGACAGGAGAGAGAUCUCCGUGAGCGGUUCUGUCGGCUGAGAGGAAACCUGCUGUUCAUCCUGAAAAGACAGG